AACGAACGCUGGCGGCAUGCCUAACACAUGCAAGUCGAACGAGACCUUCGGGUCUAGUGGCGCACGGGUGCGUAACGCGUGGGAACCUGCCUUUAGGUUCGGAAUAACUCAGAGAAAUUUGAGCUAAUACCGGAUGAUGUCUUCGGACCAAAGAUUUAUCGCCUUUAGAUGGGCCCGCGUUGGAUUAGCUAGUUGGUGGGGUAAAGGCCUACCAAGGCGACGAUCCAUAGCUGGUCUGAGAGGAUGAUCAGCCACACUGGGACUGAGACACGGCCCAGACUCCUCCGGGAGGCGGAAGGGGGGAAUAUUGGACAAGGGGGGAAAGCCUGAUCCACCAAUGCCGGGGGAGUAAUGAAGCCCUGGGGGUUGAAAAGCUUUUUUACCCGAGAUGAUAAUGACAGUAGCGGGAGAAAAAGCCCCGGCUAACCCCGGG
rnacentral:rRNA from 1 species